UACAGAGGUGGCAAGCGUUGUUCGGAAUUACUGGGCGUAAAGGGCGCGUAGGCGGUUCGAUAAGUCCCGUGUGAAAUCCCUCGGCUCAACUGAGGAACUGCACGGGAAACUGACGGGCUUGAGUUCGGGAGAGGGAAGCGGAAUUCCGGGUGUAGCGGUGAAAUGCGUAGAUAUCCGGAGGAACACCCGUGGCGAAGGCGGCUCUCUGGAACGCAACUGACGCUGAGACGCGAAAGCGUGGGGAGCAAACAGG
rnacentral:rRNA from 1 species